UACGAAGGGGGCUAGCGUUGCUCGGAAUCACUGGGCGUAAAGGGUGCGUAGGCGGGUCUUUAAGUCAGGGGUUAAAUCCUGGAGCUCAACUCCAGAACUGCCUUUGAUACUGAGGAUCUUGAGUUCGGGAGAGGUGAGUGGAACUGCGAGUGUAGAGGUGAAAUUCGUAGAUAUUCGCAAGAACACCAGUGGCGAAGGCGGCUCACUGGCCCGAUACUGACGCUGAGGUGCGAAAGCGUGGGGAGCAAACAGG
rnacentral:rRNA from 1 species